UCUCUGGUAGUCCAGUGGUUAGGACUCUGGGCUUUCACUGCCGAGAGCCCAGGUUCAGUCCCUGGUCAGGGAA
rnacentral:tRNA from 1 species